GACGAACGCUGGCGGCGUGCUUAACACAUGCAAGUCGAACGGUGACGCACCUUCGGGUGCUGAUCAGUGGCGAACGGGUGAGUAACACGUGGGCAACCUGCCCCUGACUCUGGGAUAACUCCUCGAAAGAGGUGCUAAUACCGGAUAUCACAUCCCUCGGCAUCGGGGGGAGGUCGAAAGUUCCUCGGUCAGGGAUGGGCCCGCGGCCUAUCAGCUAGUUGGUGGGGUAACGGCCCACCAAGGCGACGACGGGUAGCCGGCCUGAGAGGGCGACCGGCCACACUGGGACGGAGACACGGCCCAGACUCCUACGGGAGGCAGCAGUGGGGAAUAUUGCGCAAUGGGCGAAAGCCUGACGCAGCAACGCCGCAUGAGGGAUGACGGCCUUCGGGUUGUAAACCUCUUUAGGUGGGGAAGAAAGGUAAUGAGUGAAUAACUGAUUGCUUUGACGGUACCCGCAGAAUAAGCACCGGCUAACUC
rnacentral:rRNA from 1 species